GAUGUACGCUGACAGAAUGCUUAACACAUGCAAGUCAACGGUGGCGGACGGGCGAGUAACGCGUAAAGAACUUGCCUCACUGAUAGGGACAACAUUUGGAAACGAAUGCUAAUACCUGAUACUGUGAGAGAGCGUUGCGUCCCAUUAGCUAGUUGGAGAGGUAACGGCUCACCAAGGAGAUGAUGGGUAGCCGGCCUGAGAGGGUGAUCGGCCACAAGGGGACUGAGAAACGGCCCUUACUUCUACGGGAGGCAGCAGUGGGGAAUAUUGGACAAUGGACCGAAGUCUGAUCGAGCAAUUCGGUGUGCACGGUGAAGUUUUCGGAAUGUAAAGUGAUUUCAGUUGGGAAGCAGUUCCCACAGAAGAAGUGACGACUAAAUACGUGCCAGCAGCCGCGGUAAUUC
rnacentral:rRNA from 1 species